AGUGAACGCUGGCGGUAGGCCUAACACAUGCAAGUCGAACGGCAGCACAGUAAGAGCUUGCUCUUACGGGUGGCGAGUGGCGGACGGGUGAGGAAUACAUCGGAAUCUACUUUUUCGUGGGGGAUAACGUAGGGAAACUUACGCUGAUACCGCAUACGACCUACGGGUGAAAGCAGGGGAUCUUCGGACCUUGCGCGAUUGAAUGAGCCGAUGUCGGAUUAGCUAGUUGGCGGGGUAAAGGCCCACCAAGGCGACGAUCCGUAGCUGGUCUGAGAGGAUGAUCAGCCACACUGGAACUGAGACACGGUCCAGACUCCUACGGGAGGCAGCAGUGGGGAAUAUUGGACAAUGGGCGCAAGCCUGAUCCAGCCAUACCGCGUGGGUGAAGAAGGCCUUCGGGUUGUAAAGCCCUUUUGUUGGGAAAGAAAAGCAGCAGGUUAAUACCCCGCUGUUCUGACGGUACCCAAAGAAUAGGCACCGGCUAACUUCGU
rnacentral:rRNA from 1 species